rnacentral:lncRNA from 1 species
CAGCUAAGUAAUCUCCUUCCCUCCCCAGGCGUGAGCCCCCUCUGCCUCGCUCCACAUGGAGCCAUUUACACCUGCACUAAGCAGGGAUAAAGUGAAGCCAAUCUGAAUUCUGCACUGCCUUGCGCUCAAGGUUGCCUUUUACAUCUGUUUGGCAUUUGCAGAGCCCGACUGCAACCUUAGCUCAGCUGGUGGAGCCCUGGCAUUACAGCGGGGUGGUCAGGUCCCACAUUUGAGGUUUGGGGCUGGGGGAAUGGGAGUGGUUUUGGUGUGGGAAGAGGAAAAGAAAAUCAGCUCCUUGUGCCUGAGUGAGUGCAAAGCUGGGAGCUGCUGCUGCAGCCCUGCUGAGAUGGAAAGGCUGCCCACGGGCUCAGGAGGUCAUCACCCCACAUUACUUCAGUUUGGUUUUGCACGUGGGCCCUGGUGGUGCUGCUUGCAGGACCGUGUGUGUGCAGUGCUUGGUGUGCCCAGCCAGCUGAUUCCUGUGUUCUCCCAAGGAGAAUUCGUUCCUGGCAUGAUGCAGGUGGGUGCCUGGUUUAUGCCUUCGUGCCCGAGGAUUUACAGGGCAGCUGUGUGUGUGUGUGUAGGGAGGAGUGGGAAAAGCCCAGUCCCACCUCUUCCUUUUACUCCUUUUCAUUUUUGGGGGUUGAUUUGUGCCUUCUCCCCUAGGCUUGCCCAGCUGCACACAUGCUGCUGGCUCUGGAUCAGCAUCCUUGUUACUCCUCUGAGAGUGCCGUCUGUAGGUGAUAAUCUAGAGAAAUCAGUACGGAGUGAGAACCGGUAGUUUUGGCUCGGUGUGCAAUUUGCAAGUGCCUCGUUAUUGGCCCAAAGCUGCUUUAUUCUUAGUUUUUAUUUUUAUUUUGGAGAAGGCGUAGAAAAUGUCAAUGUUCUGCUUUUCUUUUUAAAUGGCCUCAGAUUACUGCGGCAGUUAUGGAAAUGUAUUUUAUUUUGUGUUUAGCACCAUCUUCAUUAGGCACCAGAGCAAUUCUCUCUUUACAGCCGAGCACAUCACAGAGAAUUAAUCGGCCUGUUCAGAGCUCGUAUUUUCAGGAGUCACUAAUAGUGAUGAGUGUGACGCUUCCUUCAAAU